AGCCCUGAGGUGUUGAACAUAUUAGAUUGCAAAUCUUAAGCAGCCGGUUAACGCCGGCCGGGGCUU
rnacentral:tRNA from 1 species